GUUUUGUUCACUCCAGAAAGAAAGAAAAAAGAUAAAGAAAGUUAAAUUGACGGAUGCGUCAACUGUUGCUGUGUGGCGUCUGUUGCUUGAAGCGAAUUCAGACGGUCGCGUGGUGAAAAUAAUGAGCAGAAACCACUCGGCCAAAAGCCUUGUGUGAGAGGAAGAGGACCAGGAGUCGUCAGUUAAGACUAUUCGGUCAGGUUUUUUUUCUGAGUGGAGAAAAAAAAAAAGAAUCAUCAGAUUGGAUUCAACGAUGGCGAGCUAACCCAGAGUGAUUGAAGAACCAAGAACAUCGAAUAUUCGGGAAUAACAGACGGACUGUCUGUGUGGUAGGAUUGUAUCAGUCAUCGGACUGAUACCUACAUUUUUUUUUUUCUUCCAAAGAGUGCACUCCAACGAACAUAGGGAAAAACUAUUGCAAUAGAAAAACUGAGACAUUGAAUUAGUUGCUAUUGCAACUAAUAAGGGACGAUUUUGAC